rnacentral:rRNA from 1 species
AAAGCUUUUGCGGCAUGGGAUGGGGUCGCGUCCUAUCAGCUUGUUGGUGGGGUAACGGCCUACCAAGGCUUCGACGGGUAGCCGGCCUGAGAGGGCGACCGGCCACAUUGGGACUGAGAUACGGCCCAGACUCCUACGGGAGGCAGCAGUGGGGAAUAUUGCACAAUGGGCGCAAGCCUGAUGCAGCGACGCCGCGUGAGGGAUUGGAGGCCUU